rnacentral:rRNA from 1 species
GUCCACGCUGUAAACGAUGACGACUAGGUGUGGGGGGGUUCAGUCCCCUCCGUGCCGCAGCUAACGCAUUAAGUCGUCCGCCUGGGGAGUACGGCCGCAAGGUUGAAACUCAAAGGAAUUGACGGGGGCCCGCACAAGCGGUGGAGCAUGUGGUUCAAUUCGAUGCAGAGCGAAGAACCUUACCUGGGCUUGACAUGCAGGAAGUAGAAACCGGAAACGGCGACGACCUGUUAAGUCAGGAACCUGCACAGGUGGUGCAUGGCUGUCGU